rnacentral:rRNA from 1 species
GGAAUCAACGCUGGCGGCGUGCCUAACACAUGCAAGUCGCACGAGAAAGGGACUUCGGUCCUGAGUACAGUGGCGCACGGGUGAGUAACACGUGAAUAAUCUACCUCCGAGUGGGGAAUAACUGAGAGAAAUCUUAGCUAAUACCGCAUAACACUUACGAGUCAAAGCAGCAAUGCGCUUGGAGAGGAGUUCGCGGCAGAUUAGUUAGUUGGCGGGUAAUGGCCACCAAGACGAUGAUCUGUA